AAGAAAGCCAAACAUGUUCUGCUUUGGGGCUUCUGCCUAUUAUAUUCUAGGUUCAUGGAGACUUAAAAAUUUAAUGGGGGGCGGGGGGGAGAGGAACUAUUAAAUCUCACUGGUUCUUUAAAGCAUAGGUAAUUAGCUGUGUCUGAAACAAAAUUCUCAGUAAGCCGUGCUGGGCUUCUGGGGAAAACAAGCAUAUUCCCCUCAGAUGUUUGACCAGCAGGUUUUGCCACAGACUCAUCAUCCCAGUAAUCAGCAGAAACAUGGUGUCUCUCAAAGCAGAACCUGCAGUUGUGCAGAUGAGUUACAUCAGUGAAGGUGAUUCUCGGAGGAGGUAUUUGAUUUCCACAUCCCGCUUGGACGUUGAUGGGGGCCAAGAGGACUGAUAUACUGGGAAACUGGCUGCAUGCUGACAGAGGCUGGCUGUUUAUGAGGUGUGACAUGGGCCACAGAGGAAGGAUGAAACUGGAAGGAAACGAGCUUGGACGCUCUGUGGGACGCCUGUCCCAGGACUGGGGUCUGUCCCUGGCAGAGAAGCGUUUCCGUGGAUGGGCUCUGUGCCUGUGGGGGUUCCUGGCUGCUGUGCUGGGGUGCACUCACCACUGCCUUCAACCGCAGGGCCCCAAUGAAAGCGCAAACCUCUUGUGUUGCGCUGCAGUGGGGUUGCAGUCGCCGAUGGCAGCGUGAGAGCGGGCCGCCUGCCAUGAGCCCCGCACCAGUGAGCAGGGGGCCUGGGCAGGGGGCUCUCCCUAGGGUCUCGCAGCUCCUCGUCCGGCGCUGGCCUGGGGAGCCCCACGAGCACCCAGGGGGCUGCCUGGUAGCAGCAGCGUGGCUUCGGGGCCCUUCUGCCUGCAUUGGACCCACUGCAGGGAAAGAAGCCAUGAUGUGAGAUGUUGGCAAACAAGUUAUCCGAAAAGAAACAUUUGUCAGUUUGAGUCAGAGCCCUGUUUGCUUCAGUGUCAAACCAGAAAAUAACUGGAAUCAGGUUGAGACUUUUUUUGUUAUUGAAAUAAAA
rnacentral:lncRNA from 1 species